rnacentral:rRNA from 1 species
AACGCGAAGAACCUUACCAGGGUUUGACAUGUAUGUGGCAUCCUCAGAGAUGAGGCUCCCUUCGGGGCACAUGCACAGGUGCUGCAUGGCUGUCGUCAGCUCGUGCCGUGAGGUGUUGGGUUAAGUCCCAUAACGAGCGCAACCCUUACUGGUAGUUGAAUAUCUCUACCAGGACUGCCGCAAAACAGCGGAGGAAGGUGGGGAUGACGUCAAGUCAGCACGGCCCUUACAUCCUGGGCGACACACACGCUACAAUGGCCGGUACAACGAGUUGCCAACCCGCGAGGGGGAGCUAAUCUUUGCAAAACCGGUCUCAGUUCAGAUUGUAGGCUGCAACCCGCCUGCAUGAAGUUGGAGUUGCUAGUAACCGUCGGUCAGCAUACGACGGUGAAUACGUUCCCGGGCCUUGUA